UACGAAGGGGGCUAGCGUUACUCGGAUUGACUGGGCGUAAAGGGCGCGUAGGCGGUUUGUACAGUCAGACGUGAAAUUCCUGGGCUCAACCUGGGGGCUGCGUUUGAUACGUGCAGACUUGAGUUCGGAAGAGGGUCGUGGAAUUCCCAGCGUAGAGGUGAAAUUCGUAGAUAUUGGGAAGAACACCGGUGGCGAAGGCGGCGACCUGGUCCGAUACUGACGCUGAGGCGCGAAAGCUAGGGGAGCAAACAGG
rnacentral:rRNA from 1 species